rnacentral:tRNA from 1 species
AGCUCAGUUGGUAAAGAAUCUGCCUGUAAUGCAGGAGACCCAGGUUCGAUUCCUGG